AGAGUUUGAUCCUGGCUCAGGAUGAACGCUGGCGGCGUGCUUAACACAUGCAAGUCGAACGAACCUUCGGGUUAGUGGCGGACGGGUGAGUAACGCGUGAGAAUCUGCCCUCAGGAGGGGGAUAACAGCUGGAAACGGCUGCUAAUACCCCAUAUGCCGCGAGGUGAAAUGAAUUUCGCCUGAGGAUGAGCUCGCGUCUGAUUAGCUAGUUGGUGUGGGUAAUGGCUCACCAAGGCAUCGAUCAGUAGCUGGUCUGAGAGGAUGAUCAGCCACACUGGGACUGAGACACGGCCCAGACUCCUACGGGAGGCAGCAGUGGGGAAUUUUCCGCAAUGGGCGAAAGCCUGACGGAGCAACGCCGCGUGAGGGAUGAAGGCCUCUGGGCUGUAAACCUCUUUUAUCAAGGAAGAAGAUCUGACGGUACUUGAUGAAUAAGCCACGGCUAAUUCCGUGCCAGCAGCCGCGGUAAUACGGGAGUGGCAAGCGUUAUCCGGAAUUAUUGGGCGUAAAGCGUCCGCAGGCGGCCCUUCAAGUCUGCUGUUAAAAAGUGGAGCUUAACUCCAUCAUGGCAGUGGAAACUGAGGGGCUUGAGUGUGGUAGGGGCAGAGGGAAUUCCCGGUGUAGCGGUGAAAUGCGUAGAUAUCGGGAAGAACACCAGUGGCGAAGGCGCUCUGCUGGGCCAUCACUGACGCUCAUGGACGAAAGCCAGGGGAGCGAAAGGGAUUAGAUACCCCUGUAGUCCUGGCCGUAAACGAUGAACACUAGGUGUCGGGGGAAUCGACCCCCUCGGUGUCGUAGCCAACGCGUUAAGUGUUCCGCCUGGGGAGUACGCACGCAAGUGUGAAACUCAAAGGAAUUGACGGGGGCCCGCACAAGCGGUGGAGUAUGUGGUUUAAUUCGAUGCAACGCGAAGAACCUUACCAGGGUUUGACAUCCUGCGAAUCUCUUGGAAACGAGAGAGUGCCUUCGGGAGCGCAGUGACAGGUGGUGCAUGGCUGUCGUCAGCUCGUGUCGUGAGAUGUUGGGUUAAGUCCCGCAACGAGCGCAACCCACGUCUUUAGUUGCCAGCAUUUAGUUGGGCACUCUAGAGAGACCGCCGGUGAUAAACCGGAGGAAGGUGUGGAUGACGUCAAGUCAUCAUGCCCCUUACAUCCUGGGCUACACACGUACUACAAUGCUACGGACAAAGGGCAGCAAGUUCGCGAGGACAAGCAAAUCCCAUAAACCGUGGCUCAGUUCAGAUCGUAGGCUGCAACUCGCCUACGUGAAGGAGGAAUCGCUAGUAAUCGCAGGUCAGCAUACUGCGGUGAAUACGUUCCCGGGCCUUGUACACACCGCCCGUCACACCAUGGAAGUUGGCCACGCCCGAAGCCGUUACUCCAACCCUUGUGGAGGAGGACGUCGAAGGUGGGGCUGAUGACUGGGGUGAAGUCGUAACAAGGUAACC
rnacentral:rRNA from 2 species